AAAAAAAAUUGUGAUACGAACCGAAUCGUGGGUCAAAAAUCGUGAUACGAACCGAAUCGUGGGUUUGGUGUAUCGUUACAGCCCUAUUGAUUAGAGUAAUUAAAUGGUUUAAAGUUAUUUGAAAGGUUGAAACAAAAUCUGUUAUCUUGUUAUUUUUAAAUCAACAGGAGCGGUUUAAAUCAAGAUUGGCAAAUUUGCAUCAACAUCACCAAGACUGCUUUAACCGCUUUAACGAAGCAGAAAGUAAAUUAAGACAAAAGACUUGCCUACAAAAAUCAAAGCAUUCGUUCAUCACCUGCAACAGCAACACUCACAUCAUCUCCAUCCUGUCCUGAGCAACCUACAUCAUGUGCAACUGCAACACUCAUGACAUCUUCAUACUCUCCUGAGCAGCGUUCAUCACCUGCAACAGCAACACUCACAUCAUCUCCAUCCUGUCCUGAGCAACCUACAUCAUGUGCAACUGCAACACUCAUGACAUCUUCAUACUCUCCUGAGCAGCGUUUAUCACCUGCAACAGCAACACUCAAAACAUUCUGUUCAGCAAAGAGUCUAUAAUGAAUUCUGUUUUGAUUCUCCUUUUACUCCUACUUCAUAAAAACAUUUUACUACAUGAAAAAAAAAAAAAAAAAAGUUAACGGUACAAUUUUUCCAUUGUGUUUUAUUUGUUCUGGUCAGUGUAUACAUAAUGCAACUUUGAAAAUAGGUAAUUACUGAUUUACAUUUAACCCAUUUAAUUAACUUUUUAUAGUUUUUUUGUGAUUGGCUAAAACAUUCAUUUAGAUUUAGAAAUUUUGAGUGAUUAAGGCAGACAUUUUAAAUAUGCAAGCUUUUAUUGAGCAAUGUUGUUCUAUAGAUUUUAGAUAUUUCUUUAGGUAGUUUUGCCCAAAUUAGUUUUGAAUUAGGAAACUCAAGGUAUCAGCACCAAAUUAUCUACUAAUGAACGGGUCUGGAUUGGAUCCGGAUAAGCUACUUCAUCAAUGGGUUCUGGUCUAGAUUGGAUCCGGGCCGGAUGAGCUAGUCUAUCAGCGGGUCUGGAUCGGAUCUGCGCCGGAUGAGCUACUCUAUCAGCGGGUCUGGAUUGGAUCCGAGCUGGAUGAGCUACUCUAUUAACGGGUCCGGAUCGGAUCCGGAUGAAGAGCUUUAUUAGCGGAUACGGGUAACGUCUGAAAUGGGUCCGGAACGGAUACAGAAUUCUUAUCCGUUCCGGAUCCGUUGCGCUGUGCAAGUAGACUCCAGUACAGACCCAUUUGCGGACCCGUUUCUGUUGCGGAUCAUGUAAUACCUCCGGCGCGGAUCUGUUCCGGAGUCAUUUUGAUAUCUGGAAAACCUUUAGGCAGCAGUAAGCCUCACAAAUACUUAAAAUUGAUUGACUUAAACUGCUUGAACUUUAUUAAAACUGUUAGCACUAA